GCACCUGCAUCAGCCAUUCCGCGUGAGUGAAGAAGGCCUUCGGGUUGUAAAGCUCUUUCGCAAGGGAAGAAACGAUACAGUCUAAUAAACUGUGUUAAUGACGGUACCUUGAUAAGAAGCACCGGCUAACUACGUGCCAGCAGCCGCGGUAAUACGUAGGGUGCGAGCGUUAAUCGGAAUUACUGGGCGUAAAGCGUGCGCAGGCGGUUUUGAAAGUCAGAUGUGAAAUCCCCGGGCUCAACCUGGGAACUGCGUUUGAAACUCCAAAGCUAGAGUAUGGGAGAGGGGGGUAGAAUUCCACGUGUAGCAGUGAAAUGCGUAGAUAUGUGGAGGAACACCGAUGGCGAAGGCAGCCCCCUGGGUCAAAACUGACGCUCAUGCACGAAAGCGUGGGGAGCAAACAGGAUUAGAUACCCUGGUAGUCCACGCCCUAAACGAUGUCUACUAGUUGUCGGGUCUUAAUUGACUUGGUAACGCAGCUAACGCGUGAAGUAGACCGCCUGGGGAGUACGGUCGCAAGAUUAAAACUCAAAGGAAUUGACGGGGACCCGCACAAGCG
rnacentral:rRNA from 1 species